AAAUUGAAGAGUUUGAUCAUGGCUCAGAUUGAACGCUGGCGGCAGGCCUAACACAUGCAAGUCGAACGGUAACAGGAAGCAGCUUGCUGCUUCGCUGACGAGUGGCGGACGGGUGAGUAAUGUCUGGGAAACUGCCUGAUGGAGGGGGAUAACUACUGGAAACGGUAGCUAAUACCGCAUAACGUCGCAAGACCAAAGAGGGGGACCUUCGGGCCUCUUACCAUCGGAUGUGCCCAGAUGGGAUUAGCUAGUAGGUGGGGUAACGGCUCACCUAGGCGACGAUCCCUAGCUGGUCUGAGAGGAUGACCAGCCACACUGGAACUGAGACACGGUCCAGACUCCUACGGGAGGCAGCAGUGGGGAAUAUUGCACAAUGGGCGCAAGCCUGAUGCAGCCAUGCCGCGUGUAUGAAGAAGGCCUUCGGGUUGUAAAGUACUUUCAGCGGGGAGGAAGGCGAUAAGGUUAAUAACCUUGUCGAUUGACGUUACCCGCAGAAGAAGCACCGGCUAACUCCGUGCCAGCAGCCGCGGUAAUACGGAGGGUGCAAGCGUUAAUCGGAAUUACUGGGCGUAAAGCGCACGCAGGCGGUCUGUCAAGUCGGAUGUGAAAUCCCCGGGCUCAACCUGGGAACUGCAUUCGAAACUGGCAGGCUAGAGUCUUGUAGAGGGGGGUAGAAUUCCAGGUGUAGCGGUGAAAUGCGUAGAGAUCUGGAGGAAUACCGGUGGCGAAGGCGGCCCCCUGGACAAAGACUGACGCUCAGGUGCGAAAGCGUGGGGAGCAAACAGGAUUAGAUACCCUGGUAGUCCACGCCGUAAACGAUGUCGACUUGGAGGUUGUGCCCUUGAGGCGUGGCUUCCGGAGCUAACGCGUUAAGUCGACCGCCUGGGGAGUACGGCCGCAAGGUUAAAACUCAAAUGAAUUGACGGGGGCCCGCACAAGCGGUGGAGCAUGUGGUUUAAUUCGAUGCAACGCGAAGAACCUUACCUACUCUUGACAUCCAGAGAACUUUCCAGAGAUGGAUUGGUGCCUUCGGGAACUCUGAGACAGGUGCUGCAUGGCUGUCGUCAGCUCGUGUUGUGAAAUGUUGGGUUAAGUCCCGCAACGAGCGCAACCCUUAUCCUUUGUUGCCAGCGGUCCGGCCGGGAACUCAAAGGAGACUGCCAGUGAUAAACUGGAGGAAGGUGGGGAUGACGUCAAGUCAUCAUGGCCCUUACGAGUAGGGCUACACACGUGCUACAAUGGCGCAUACAAAGAGAAGCGACCUCGCGAGAGCAAGCGGACCUCAUAAAGUGCGUCGUAGUCCGGAUUGGAGUCUGCAACUCGACUCCAUGAAGUCGGAAUCGCUAGUAAUCGUGGAUCAGAAUGCCACGGUGAAUACGUUCCCGGGCCUUGUACACACCGCCCGUCACACCAUGGGAGUGGGUUGCAAAAGAAGUAGGUAGCUUAACCUUCGGGAGGGCGCUUACCACUUUGUGAUUCAUGACUGGGGUGAAGUCGUAACAAGGUAACCGUAGGGGAACCUGCGGUUGGAUCACCUCCUUA
rnacentral:rRNA from 1 species